GCACGGGCCGCGAGAGGAGCCUCGGCGAGUGCGCCCACCGGCCCUGGGGCUACCACGACUGCACGCACAGCGAGGACGUCGGGGUGCUCUGCGAGGAUCCCUGAGGAGCACAAAGGUGUCCCCAGAUCCGCCCCGUUGCCGGCAGCCCACGUGGAUCCCAUCGGAGCAGCCUCCCCUCUGCGGCCUCCCCAGGGCAGCCCUCGGUUCCAGGCCCCAGGAAGGACCCUGGGUGCGUUGGGUCCUUCCUGGAGUCUCUGCGUGCAGAGGAUGGAAUGGUGUGAACGACGGUCAAUGUCAACGAUGGUCAGCGUUAAUGAUGGUCAGCAUUAAC